rnacentral:lncRNA from 1 species
AAAAAAUUCAAAACCUCGAGAUCAAGUAACAUGGAUUAUUUAUGCUAAAAGCUCAUAGCAAAAACUCAGUCUUGCAUCAUGAUUUUGUUAAAUGCUAGAAUUUUUACCAAACGGAUAAGGUCAUGCAUAAGCAUACAAUGUCUAGGGAUGACAUGAAACCAUUCAAGUAAACUAAUGGUAGAAUGCUACUUCUGUCGACAAAUACCUAGAGAACAGGAUAAACUGAAUAUCCUGUACUACACCAAGUUAAAAGUCCAAAUUACAUCUAAAAUAUUUUUGAUUACCAGGAAAUCCUUGAGGGCCAGUUGGCACAAUUUCAGUGGAUAAUCGGUCCAUUGAAAAAGAAAAGAAGAAUAAAAAAAGUUGCAAAAAGAAAAAUGAAGAAAAAUAUUAAAAAGAAAAAAUAAAAUUAAUGAAAAUAAAAAUGAAAAAGAAAGAAAAUAUAGAAGUUGAGAGGAGAAACGAAAAAAAAAAAUAAAAGUUGAGAAAAAUGAAAAAAAGAUAAAUUAAAAAUAAAGGCCGAGAAAAAUUAAAAAGGAAUAAAGAUUAAAAAAAUAAAAAAAAAGUAGACGUUGAGAGGAGUAAAGAAAAAAUGUAAAGAUUGAGAAAAACUAAAAAGAAAAAAUCAAAGUAAAAAAAAUAAAAAAUUGAGAGGAGAAAAAGGAUUAAGAAAAUUUUUUUUAAAAAAAGGGAAGACUGGUUUUAUAUAGUUUAAUCCAUUGGUCAGAGACAAUUUUGUCCAAAAUAUACCAUUUAAUAGUUAAAGGCUAUUUUUACAAAGCUCUCUUAUUUAGGAUCAAAAAUUGAAAGUCACCUUAUUUUGAGGCUAUUCCUCUAUUUUUCCAAUAUUUUUAUCCAUCUUUUUCUCAUUACAUAUUUCCUUACCCGUUGUAAAUGUACCCCUUCUGAGGCUUUUGAAAUAAGGAAAAUAUAUAUAAUUUGAAAGAACAAUUAAUAAAAUUCGGAUUUUGUUGCCAAAAAUUCACUUGUAAAAUUGCAUUAUUAUUUUGUACUAGGUGGACCUAAACAACCGAAAGGCAUGGUAGAAUGACUGGUAUCUCUCAAUCCUUAAACCAUAGUUAAAAUUUUGAGUCUUAAAUGAUGAUCAUCUGAGUUGGGAGCGCUUUACCCCUUUGGUGGGUCUACUAGGUGUGAGUUUGAAUCAGUUGAUCCAACUUCAGAUAUUGGAUGGUUAAACCGAUAUAAGAAAAAAUUCAAAACCUCGAGAUCAAGCAACAUGGAUUAUUUAUGCCAAAAGCUCAUAGCAAAAACUCAGUCUUGCAUCAUGAUUUUGUUAAAUGCUAGAAUUUUUACCAAACGGAUAAGGUCAUGCAUAAGCAUACAAUGUCAAGGGAUGACAUGAAACCAUUCAAGUAAGCUAAUGGUAAAAUGCGACUUCUGUAGACAAAUGCCUAGAGAACUGGAUAAACUGAAUAUCACGUACUACACCAAGUUAAAAGUCCAAAUUACAU